rnacentral:rRNA from 1 species
GACGAACGCUGGCGGCGUGCUUAACACAUGCAAGUCGAACGGAAAGGCCCUGCUUUUGUGGGGUGCUCGAGUGGCGAACGGGUGAGUAACACGUGAGUAACCUGCCCUUGACUUUGGGAUAACUUCAGGAAACUGGGGCUAAUACCGGAUAGGAGCUCCUGCUGCAUGGUGGGGGUUGGAAAGUUUCGGCGGUUGGGGAUGGACUCGCGGCUUAUCAGCUUGUUGGUGGGGUAGUGGCUUACCAAGGCUUUGACGGGUAGCCGGCCUGAGAGGGUGACGGGCCACAUUGGGACUGAGAUACGGACCAGACUCCUACGGGAGGCAGCAGUGGGGAAUAUUGCACAAUGGGCGGAAGCCUGAUGCAGCAACGCCGCGUGCGGGAUGACGGCCUUCGGGUUGUAAACCGCUUUCGCCUGUGACGAAGCGUGAGUGACGGUAAUGGGUAAAGAAGCACCGGCUAACUACGUG